rnacentral:snRNA from 1 species
CUUAUUAGGUUUUAUCAUU